AGGGUAAUAGCUCAGUGAUAGAGCGCAUGCUUAGCAUACCGAGGUCCUGGGUUCAAUCCCCAGUACCUCCA
rnacentral:tRNA from 1 species